GCUUGGGUGGCUGAGUUGGUUAAGUGUCUGACUUCAGCUCAGGUCAUGAUCUCAAGGUUUGUGAGGUCGAGCCCCACAUCAGGCU
rnacentral:tRNA from 1 species